rnacentral:rRNA from 1 species
GAUGAACGCUGGCGGCGUGCCUAAUACAUGCAAGUCGAGCGAACGGACGAGGAGCUUGCUUUUCUGAUGUUAGCGGCGGACGGGUGAGUAACACGUGGAUAACCUACCUAUAAGACUGGGAUAACUUCGGGAAACCGGAGCUAAUACCGGAUAAUAUUUUGAACCGCAUGGUUCAAAAGUGAAAGACGGUCUUGCUGUCACUUAUAGAUGGAUCCGCGCUGCAUUAGCUAGUUGGUAAGGUAACGGCUUACCAAGGCAACGAUGCAUAGCCGACCUGAGAGGGGGAUCGGCCACACUGGAACUGAGACACGGUCCAGACUCCUACGGGAGGCAGCAGUAGGGAAUCUUCCGCAAUGGGCGAAAGCCUGACGGAGCAACGCCGCGUGAGUGAUGAAGGUCUUCGGAUCGUAAAACUCUGUUAUUAGGGAAGAACAUAUGUGUAAGUAACUGUGCACAUCUUGACGGUACCUAAUCAGAAAGCCACGGCUAACUACGUG